GAUGAAUCUCGCUGUAAUCUGCAGGUCUGCUCUACAUGUUAAGAAUUGCAAUGCAAUGCAAUUCACUGCACUCACCACUGCCAUUCAACAGAGAAGUCCAAACACCUCUCUGUGAAGUGUUCUCGGAGUUUAUCCCCUGCUGAAAGCCUCCUCUAAGUUCUUUGCUGUUGCCCAGCCAACACCUGAGGGAUCACAAACAAACCUGGGAGUAA